AUUGAACGCUGGCGGAAUGCUUUACACAUGCAAGUCGAGCGGCAGCACGGACUUCGGUCUGGUGGCGAGUGGCGAACGGGUGAGUAAUAUAUCGGAACGUGCCCAGUCGUGGGGGAUAACGUAGUGAAAAUUACGCUAAUACCGCAUACGAUCUAUGGAUGAAAGCGGGGGAUCGCAAGACCUCGCGCGAUUGGAGCGGCCGAUAUCAGAUUAGGUAGUUGGUGAGGUAAAGGCUCACCAAGCCAACGAUCUGUAGCGGGUCUGAGAGGACGACCAGCCACACUGGAACUGAGACACGGGCCAGACUCCUACGGGAGGCAGCAGUGGGGAAUUUUGGACAAUGGACGCAAGUCUGAUCCAGCCAUUCCGCGUGCAGGACGAAGGCCUUCGGGUUGUAAACUGCUUUUGUACAGAACGAAAAGGUUUCUAUUAAUACUAGGGGCUCAUGACGGUACUGUAAGAAUAAGCACCGGCUAACUACAUGCCAGCCGCCGCUGUAA
rnacentral:rRNA from 1 species